UACGUAGGGGGCAAGCGUUACUCGGAUUUACUGGGCGUAAAGCGCGUGUAGGCGGCUGGUCAAGCGUGAUGUGAAAUCUCCGGGCUCAACCCGGAAACUGCAUCGCGAACUGGCCUGGCUAGAGUGCAGGAGAGGGCGGCGGAAUUUCCGGUGGAGCGGUGAAAUGCGUAGAGAUCGGAAAGAACACCAACGGCGAAAAGCACUCUGCUGGGCCGACACUGACACUGAGAGACGAAAGCUAGGGGAGCGAAUGGG
rnacentral:rRNA from 1 species